UUAGCCCUAAACCCAGAUAAUUUUUUAAACAAAAUUAUUCGCCAGAGUACUACUAGCAAUAGCCUGAAACUCAAAGGACUUGGCGGUGCUUCAUAUCCCUCUAGAGGAGCCUGUCCUAUAAACGAUAAACCCCGAUAGACCUUACCAACCCUAGCUAAUACAGCCUAUAUACCGCCAUCCUCAGCAAACCCUGAUAAAGGAAAUAUAGUAAGCAAGAUUGUUAAAAUACAAAAUUGUUAGGUCAAGGUGUAGCUUAUGAGUUGGAAAGAGAUGGGCUACAUUUUCUCAAAACAGAAAAAAAAACGAACAUUCUUAUGAUAUUAAGAGUUAAAGGAGGAUUUAGUAGUAA
rnacentral:rRNA from 1 species